GGACCUGAUAUCAGCAUGUCUGCACGUUAAUA
rnacentral:rRNA from 1 species